UCCGGCGACCGGCGCACGGGUGAGUAACACGUAUGCAACCUGCCCUCUUCAGGGGACGAACCUUCCGAAAGGGAGGCUAAUCCCGCGUAUAUCGGUUUCGGGCAUCCGAGAUCGAGGAAAGAUUCAUCGGAAGAGGAUGGGCAUGCGGCGCAUUAGCUAGACGGCGGGGUAACGGCCCACCGUGGCGACGAUGCGUAGGGGUUCUGAGAGGAAGGUCCCCCACACUGGUACUGAGACACGGACCAGACUCCUACGGGAGGCAGCAG
rnacentral:rRNA from 1 species